CCUACGGGGAGCAGCAGUGGGGAAUAUUGGACAAUGGGCGAAAGCCUGAUCCAGCCAUGCCGCGUGUGUGAAGAAGGCCUUCGGGUUGUAAAGCACUUUCAGUGGGGAAGAAAGCCUUGGGGCUAAUACCCUCGAGGAAGGACAUCACCCACAGAAGAAGCACCGGCUAACUCCGUGCCAGCAGCCGCGGUAAUACGGAGGGUGCGAGCGUUAAUCGGAAUUACUGGGCGUAAAGCGCGCGUAGGCGGUCUGAUAAGCCGGUUGUGAAAGCCCCGGGCUCAACCUGGGAACGGCAUCCGGAACUGUCAGGCUAGAGUGCAGGAGAGGAAGGUAGAAUUCCCGGUGUAGCGGUGAAAUGCGUAGAGAUCGGGAGGAAUACCAGUGGCGAAGGCGGCCUUCUGGACUGACACUGACGCUGAGGUGCGAAAGCGUGGGUAGCAAACAGGAUUAGAUGCCCCGGUAGUC
rnacentral:rRNA from 1 species